GAUAAAGGAAGAGGGUUCCAGAGUUUUGCGGUGUAGUGGCUGAAAGCGCACCCACCGAUGGUGAAACAGAGGGUACGAGAGACAUACAGGGUGACGGAGCCAGUCGAGAAGAGGCAGCGGGUAGCGUGUUGGUACUCUCAUGGAUUUGCACAAUGACUGUGUGCCAAACCCAAGGAGGAGUCAAUGAUUGAUCAUUCCGCCAGUGUAUGAUGUAAUCGGCAGCCAGCCCAUCUUCCUCUAAUUAUCACCACAACAUCACGUUGACAAAGUUGUGCACUUUUGGUGUAAUGAUGCUAUCUGCUAACGUGAUCGCCACCAACAGAUCAGAGUGGGUUUCCUUCAGUGAGGAGCCACAGUGCACACCAUAUGCAGAAGUUACAGGUCGUAAAUACUAUUCCCAAGUCUCUGAUGAAUCGUUUGAAGAUGGUCACUUU